AGUGAACGCUGGCGGUAGGCCUAACACAUGCAAGUCGAACGGCAGCACAGUAAUAGCUUGCUCUUACGGGGUGCGAGUCGCGGGCGUGUCAGGAAUACAACGGAAUCUACUCUUUCGUGGGGGAUAAGGUAACGAAACUUACGCUAAUACAGCAUACGACCUACGGUUGAAAGCAGUGGAUCUUCGCAGCUUGCGCGGUUGGAUGCGCCGCUGUCGAAUUAGCUAGUUGGCGGGGUAAAGGCCCACCCAGGCGACGAUCCGUAGCUGGUCUGAGAGAAUGGUCAGCCACACGGGAGCUGAGACAGGGUCAAGACUACUACGGGAGGGAGCAGUGUGGAGUAUUAGGCAAUGGGGGCGAGCAUUAUACAGCCAUACCGCGUGGGUGAAGAAGGCGCUGGGGUCGGAAAGCCGUUUUGUUGGGAGAGAACCGCAGCAGGUUAAUACGCCGCUGUUCUGACGGUACCGGGAGAAGAAGCACCGGCUAACUACGUG
rnacentral:rRNA from 1 species